AGCUUCGGUGUAGCAAUACAUCGGAGCUUCUAGUGGCGUACGGGUGAGUAACACGUGGGCAACUUGCCCUAGAGACCGGGAUACCCUCUCGAAAGGGAGGCUAAUACCGGAUACGUUCUUCGGGUCGCAAGAUCUGGAGAGGAAAGGUGGCGCAAGCUACCGCUCUUGGAGAGGCUCGCGGCCUAUCAGCUAGUUGGUGAGGUAAUGGCUCACCAAGGCUAUGACGGGUAGCUGGUCUGAGAGGACGACCAGCCACACGGGAACUGAGACACGGUCCCGACUCCUACGGGAGGCAGCAGUGGGGAAUUUUCCGCAAUGGGCGAAAGCCUGACGGAGUGACGCCGCGUGGGGGACGAAGGCCUUCGGGUUGUAAACCCCUGUCAGAGGGAAAGAAGGGUGUCGGCGUGAUAACCGCCGGCACUUGACGGUACCUUCAGAGGAAGCCCCGGCCAACUCUGUGCCAGCAGCCGCGGUAAGACAGAGGGGGCAAGCGUUGCUCGGAAUCACUGGGCGUAAAGGGCGCGUAGGCGGGAUGGCAAGUCGGUCGUGAAAUCUCUCGGCUCAACCGAGAAACGUCGGCCGAUACUGCCGUUCUUGAGGGAUGCAGAGGAGACUGGAAUUCCCGGUGUAGCGGUGAAAUGUGUAGAGAUCGGGAGGAACACCGGUGGCGAAGGCGGGUCUCUGGGCAUUUCCUGACGCUGAGGCGCGAAAGCGUGGGGAGCAAACGGGAUUAGAUACCCCGGUAGUCCACGCUGUAAACGAUGACGACUAGGUGUGGGGGGGGGGUUA
rnacentral:rRNA from 1 species